GACGAACGCUGGCGGCGUGCUUAACACAUGCAAGUCGAACGGUAAGGCCCUUCGGGGUACACGAGUGGCGAACGGGUGAGUAACACGUGGGUGAUCUGCCCUGCACUUCGGGAUAAGCCUGGGAAACUGGGUCUAAUACCGGAUAGGACCACUGCCUGCAUGGGUGGUGGUGGAAAGCUUUUGCGGUGUGGGAUGUGGCCCGCGGCCUAUCAGCUUGUUGGUGGGGUGAUGGCCUACCAAGGCGACGACGGGGAGGCGGCCUGAGAGGGUGACCGGCCACACUGGGACUGAGAUACGGCCCAGACUCCUACGGGAGGCAGCAGUGGGGAAUAUUGCACAAUGGGCGCAAGCCUGAUGCAGCGACGCCGCGUGAGGGAUGACGGCCUUCGGGUUGUAAACCUCUUUCAGCACCGACGAAGCGCAAGUGACGGUAGGUGCAGAAGAAGGACCGGCCAACUACGUGCCAGCAGCCGCCGUAA
rnacentral:rRNA from 1 species